rnacentral:rRNA from 1 species
UACGGGGGGGGCAAGCGUUGUUCGGAAUUACUGGGCGUAAAGGGUUCGUAGGUGGCCAACUUAGUCAGACGUGAAAUCCCUCAGCUUAACUGGGGAACUGCGUCUGAUACUGGAUGGCUCGAGUGCAGGAGAGGAACGCGGAAUUCCAGGUGUAGCGGUGAAAUGCGUAGAUAUCUGGAGGAACACCGGUGGCGAAAGCGGCCCGCUGGGCAGAGACUGACGCUGAGGCGCGACAGCGUGGGGAGCAAACAGG